rnacentral:lncRNA from 1 species
AAAGUUUGAAGGAUGAUGCAUGCCCAGCAUAAGCAACUGUCAUAAUGAUUUCACAGAUUAUAUUCAUUGUAGGUAAGCUUAUUAGGAUUGAUUGUUGUGUAAUAAUUCUUACAAUCGUUUCGACUGUUCUUAUUAAAGCCUCAGUGGGGAUUGUUUUUUUUACAAAACUGGGAUGCAGAAAGGUCUGUGUGCAGUGGGUGCCCAAAAUGUUAACCAGGAAUAUAAAAAUUUGUUCAAAUGGGACUCUCUUCAAUAUUUGAUUUCCAAUCAGAAUGAGCCUGAAUUUCUUAGAGUUGUUGUUGUCAAUGAAAAUUCGUGCCACCAUUACGAUUCUGAAACAAGAAGCAACAAUAUGCAAUAAAAGUGUAUUCACUGAGUGGCUCAAAAAUUUAAAACAUUAUCCCAAAAAAUCUGAAACAUCUAGCAAGCAAAUUGAUGUUGACUAUGCUUUUUGAUAUGACAGGAUCACUGUUUCUUUGAACAGGAUCAAACUGUUGAUAGUGUGGAAUAUUGUGGAAUUAAAAUCUUGCAACAUUU